rnacentral:rRNA from 1 species
CAGUCGCCGCGGUAAUACGUAGGGUGCAAGCGUUAAUCGGAAUUACUGGGCGUAAAGCGUGCGCAGGCGGUUAUGUAAGACAGAGGUGAAAUCCCCGGGCUCAACCUGGGAACGGCCUUUGUGACUGCAUAGCUAGAGUACGGUAGAGGGGGAUGGAAUUCCGCGUGUAGCAGUGAAAUGCGUAGAUAUGCGGAGGAACACCGAUGGCGAAGGCAAUCCCCUGGACCUGUACUGACGCUCAUGCACGAAAGCGUGGGGAGCAAACAGGAUUAGAUACCCGGGUAGUCCCUGUCUCUUAUAC